rnacentral:rRNA from 1 species
AUUGAACGCUGGCGGCAGGCCUAACACAUGCAAGUCGAGCGAGCGGCGGACGGGUGAGUAAUGUAUGGGGACUGCCCGAUAGAGGGGGAUAACUACUGGAAACGGUAGCUAAUACCGCAUACUAUCGGAUAACCCAUAUGGGAUUAGCUAGUAGGUGAGGUAAUGGAUCACCUAGGCGACGAUCCCUAGCUGGUCUGAGAGGAUGAUCAGCCACACUGGGACUGAGCAACGGUCCAGACUCCUACGGAUGCAGCAGUGGGGAAUAUUGGAAAAUGGGCGCAAGCCUGAUGCAGCCAUGCCGCGUGUAUGAAGAAGGCCGUAGGGUUGUAAAGUACUUUCAGUGGGGAGGCGUUACCAGCAGAAGAAGCACCGGCUAACUCCGUGCCAGCAGCCGCGGUAAUAC